GACGAACGCUGGCGGCGUGCUUAACACAUGCAAGUCGAACGGUGAACCAGAGCUUGCUCUGGGGAUCAGUGGCGAACGGGUGAGUAACACGUGGGCAACCUGCCCAGACUCUGGGAUAACUCCGGGAAACCGGAGCUAAUACCGGAUACGACUACUUCGGACAUCCGACGGUAGUGGAAAGUUUUUCGGUCUGGGAUGGGCCCGCGGCCUAUCAGCUAGUUGGUGGGGUAAUGGCCUACCAAGGCGACGACGGGUAGCCGGCCUGAGAGGGCGACCGGCCACACUGGAACUGAGACACGGUCCAGACUCCUACGGGAGGCAGCAGUGGGGAAUAUUGCACAAUGGGCGAAAGCCUGAUGCAGCGACGCCGCGUGAGGGACGACGGCCUCGGGUUGUAACCGUACUUUCUAGCAGGACGAAGCGAAAGUGACUGUACCUGCAGAAGAAGCACCGGCUAACUACGUAGCCAGCAGCCGCGGUAAU
rnacentral:rRNA from 1 species